UACGUAGGGUGCAAGCGUUGUCCGGAAUUAUUGGGCGUAAAGAGCUCGUAGGCGGUUUGUCGCGUCGAAUGUGAAAACCCGGGGCUCAACCCCGGGCCUGCAUUCGAUACGGGCAGACUAGAGUUCGGUAGGGGAGUCUGGAAUUCCGGGUGUAGUGGUGAAAUGCGUAGAGAUCCGGAGGAACCCCAGAGGCGAAGGCGGCGUCCUGGCUCACAACUGACGCUCAGACACGACAGCAUGGGGAGCGAACGGG
rnacentral:rRNA from 1 species